UGAUGUGGCAGUGAUCUGGCCAGCUGAGUAGGACUCCUCUUCCUCUCUCACAUUUGAUGUGCAUUGUCACUAAAGAUGCAUCUUCGGUGGAAGCCUACAACUUUCCUCUCACAGGACAAUUCUUUGGGUAAGAAUGUCUAAGUAACUUCCCUUCUUUACCACAACAUUCAAACAUGCUCUACAGGUUUAUUUUUAAUAGAAAAUUGUCUCAGAGAGAUGUAUGUACCC
rnacentral:snRNA from 14 species